rnacentral:rRNA from 1 species
AUUGAACGCUGGCGGCAGGCCUAACACAUGCAAGUCGAACGGUAACAGGAAGACGCUUGCUUCUUUGCUGACGAGUGGCGGACGGGUGAGUAAUGUCUGGGAAACUGCCUGAUGGAGGGGGAUAACUACUGGAAACGGUAGCUAAUACCGCAUAACGUCGCAAGACCAAAGAGGGGGACCUUCGGGCCUCUUGCCAUCGGAUGUGCCCAGAUGGGAUUAGCUAGUAGGUGGGGUAACGGCUCACCUAGGCGACGAUCCCUAGCUGGUCUGAGAGGAUGACCAGCCACACUGGAACUGAGACACGGUCCAGACUCCUACGGGAGGCAGCAGUGGGGAAUAUUGAACAAUGGGCGCAAGCCUGAUGCAGCCAUGCCGCGUGUAUGAAGAAGGCCUUCGGGUUGUAAAGUACUUUCAGCGGGGAGGAAGGGAGUAAAGUUAAUACCUUUGCUCAUUGACGUUACCCGCAGAAGAAGCACCGGCUAACUCCGUG